GAGCACAAGAAGAUGUAUCAAAGGUUGCCCCCCAGGCGAGCAGCUCCAUAGCUACCCUGCCGAUGGUAAAAGCUGUUUAUUUGUAAUUUCUGUGUUACCAAUUUAUCGUUGAUGCAACCUAAUUUCCCAAACGGUCAGAUUUUGUAAAAUGCUUCGUAAAAUGAGAUUCGCAUGAAGUACCAAAUUGUUAAAACUAUCAUCUAAACAAUCUCAAUUGCAAUACCCAGUCCUCUUAUUCAGAUAUAAACAGGAUCUUCUCCUAACAGCUUGUGACAUUGCAGCUCUGAUGAUGUGGUUAAAAUUUUGACACACUUAAUAUGAUUACUAUAAAACCGACAUGUUCUUAAAUCUUUAACAUCAGAAUACAAUUCAACAAUCAUCACAAACGUUUGCUUGUUAAACAUAUAAACAAUUACUUUUAACAAUUACUUUGUGUAAUUAAAAAUGGAUUGAAGAUGAAAGUAAGCAGUAAUCUGUAUAAUAUUUAAUAAAUACAACUAUUCUUUUGUUUCAAUUGA